UACGUAGGGCGCAAGCGUUAUCCGGAAUUAUUGGGCGUAAAGAGCUUGUAGCGGUUUGUCGCGUCUGCUGUGAAAUUUCGGGGCUCAACCCCGAACUUGCAGUGGGUACGGGCAGACUAGAGUGUGGUAGGGGAGACUGGAAUUCCUGGUGUAGCGGUGAAAUGCGCAGAUAUCAGGAGGAACACCGAUGGCGAAGGCAGGUCUCUGGGCCACUACUGACGCUGAGAAGCGAAAGCAUGGGGAGCGAACAGG
rnacentral:rRNA from 1 species